rnacentral:ribozyme from 15 species
GCGCAAAGAAAGAAAGAGAAAGAGUUGGUGUUAGACUGGAGAUACAGAGAAAAAGUGCCUUCGGCCCACUUAAGAGUGUGCUCACAAGGAUCUUGCUUUCUUGUUUUUUUGUUUUUGUUUGU